rnacentral:piRNA from 1 species
UCCAUUGGCUAUGUACAGCUGAAGAUUUCGC